UGGGGAAUAUUGCACAAUGGGCGCAAGCCUGAUGCAGCAACGCCGCGUGAGGGACGACGGCCUUCGGGUUGUAAACCUCUUUUAGUAGGGAAGAAGCGAAAGUGACGGUACCUGCAGAAAAAGCACCGGCUAACUACGUGCCAGCAGCCGCGGUAAUACGUAGGGUGCGAGCGUUGUCCGGAAUUAUUGGGCGUAAAGAGCUCGUAGGCGGUCUGUCGCGUCUGCUGUGAAAAUCCCGAGGCUCAACCUCGGGCCUGCAGUGGGUACGGGCAGACUAGAGUGCGGUAGGGGAGAAUGGAAUUCCUGGUGUAGCGGUGGAAUGCGCAGAUAUCAGGAGGAACACCGAUGGCGAAGGCAGUUCUCUGGGCCGUAACUGACGCUGAGGAGCGAAAGCGUGGGGAGCGAACAGGAUUAGAUACCCUGGGUAGUCCACGCCGUAAACGUUGGGCGCUAGAUGUGGGGGACCAUUCCACGGUUUCCGUGUCGCAGCUAACGCAUUAAGCGCCCCGCCUGGGGAGUACGGCCGCAA
rnacentral:rRNA from 1 species